rnacentral:rRNA from 1 species
CCUACGGGAGGCAGCAGUGGGGAAUUUUGGACAAUGGGCGCAAGCCUGAUCCAGCAAUGCCGCGUGAGUGAAGAAGGCCUUCGGGUUGUAAAGCUCUUUUGUCAGGGAAGAAACGGUGGAGGCUAAUAUCCUUUGCUAAUGACGGUACCUGAAGAAUAAGCACCGGCUAACUACGUGCCAGCAGCCGCGGUAAUACGUAGGGUGCAAGCGUUAAUCGGAAUUACUGGGCGUAAAGCGUGCGCAGGCGGUUUUGUAAGUUUGUCGUGAAAUCCCCGGGCUCAACCUGGGAAUGGCGAUGAAGACUGCAAGGCUAGAAUCUGGCAGAGGGGGGUAGAAUUCCACGUGUAGCAGUGAAAUGCGUAGAGAUGUGGAGGAACACCGAUGGCGAAGGCAGCCCCCUGGGUCAAGAUUGACGCUCAUGCACGAAAGCGUGGGGAGCAAACAGGAUUAGAUACCCUGGUAGUCCACGCCCUAAACGAUGUCUACUAGUUGUCGGGUUUUAAUUAACUUGGUAACGCAGCUAACGCGUGAAGUAGACCGCCUGGGGAGUACGGUCGCAAGAUUAAAACUCAAAAGUAGUAGUACGGACGNGAGAGUACGCGACGAGACGACGAGGGAGGUUAGG